rnacentral:rRNA from 1 species
GAUAAACGCUGGCGGCGUGCCUAAAACAUGCAAGUCGAACGGGUGACUUCGGUCACCAGUGGCGAACGGCUGAGUAACGCGUGGGUGACCUCGCUCCGAGUGGGGGAGUAACUGCCCGAAAGGGUAGGCUAAUACCGCAUGUGCUCGUGGGAUCGUUCCUACGAACAAAGUCGCAAGACGCUCGGAGAUGGGCCCGCGUCCGAUUAGCUUGUUGGUGGGGUGACGGCCUACCAAGGCGACGAUCGGAGCUGGUCUCAGAGGAUGAUCAGCCAGACUGGGACUGCGACACGGCCCAGACUCCUACGGGAGGCAGCAGUUAGGAAUUUUGGGCAAUGGGCGAAAGCCUGACCCAGCAACGCCGCGU